rnacentral:rRNA from 1 species
CUACGGGAGGCAGCAGUAGGGAAUCUUCCGCAAUGGACGCAAGUCUGACGGAGCAACGCCGCGUGAGUGAUGAAGGUUUUCGGAUCGUAAAGCUCUGUUGCCAGGGAAGAACGUCUUAGAGAGUAACUGCUCUAAGAGUGACGGUACCUGAGAAGAAAGCCCCGGCUAACUACGUGCCAGCAGCCGCGGUAAU